CCCCUGUUUUCAGAUAAUGGAAAACUGCAUUAACCUUGUGAUGUUUCCCUGGUGGCUCCAGCACAUUCCCCCUCUUACCUCUCUGCUACUUUUUUUGCACCCUCUGAUUUGUACAGGUUCUGAUUUCCACCCUUUAUGGCCAAUCCCAAAAGGUUUGGUAGGAAAGAUCAGAAUCCAGCCCCGUGUUAUUUCAGCCGGAACAAAAUUUCUGGCUUGUUUUAGCCAUCAGGAUAGCCUUGACAUGCUUUGACUUGCUUGCACCAAAAAUGUAAACAGCAGCCCUAAGCAGAACAAUUAACAUUGUGUCUCUGCAGAUGUUUGUUUCCCUUGAAGGAGCUUGGAAUUUGAGUGGGGAAAAGCAGGGUAGGCAGCGAACAGAGGCUAAUGCAGUCUGGGGCAAACUUCCCAACUGGAGUUUUAUAAACAGCCCAAGCUGCUUCCCUUUCUAUCAGUGAUGUCACUGCUAACCUUAGUUUGGGCUGCAGCCUUGCUAUCCAUCAUCUGCCAGCUGCUAUUCCUUCCCCACUGUAUAGCAGCAGGAAUAUGUGAGGGCGACCAGAGACCCAAAGAGUUUCAGUUUCAUGUGAAUGGAAGCCAAUAAGCUCCAGAUUCCCUGGAUUUUUCAUACAAAUUAUCUCACCCAAGUCUGCAGAUAAUGCUGUCUAACAGUUGUAGGUUAUAAUUUCCAAACAGGGAGAUAACCUUCAUCAUGAAGCAAAAGCAAAAAUGCCAUUAGCAGAUAGAGAGGUGAUUUAACUCAACCUAGCCAUUUGCUCACAAGUCUGAAUUUAUGUCACCAGUUGUGAUGAAAUGAGUGUUUUCUUAGAUAGAUAUGGACGACUAACACAGCGCAGAACUCAGCAAUCUUCAAAGGACUCUGAGUUUUAAAUUCCCUGGCUAAAGUCAAACAUUUGUCUUUCUUAUCACUUUCACUCAAAGGAUGUGUUUUUGCAAUAUUACAUCAGGUUCAUUUGCCAACAUAAGAGGCCAAAAGGUGAUGUCCAGGAGAUGAAUGCUGCCUUCACUUACACGACAGUAACCCAUCAGCUGCACUGGAGUUACUCUGGGAUUCCAGUGAAGGACUUGACAGCAGGACCAUAACACCCUGCAAGAACAUUCCUUAUAUCACCAUUGCAAGAGCUCCAUAAAUCCAGCACUUUCCAGCUGAGACAUUUCAGAGGAGAGCUCAAAGUUGAGGUGAUCAAACAGCAAGCAAAGAGGUGACCGAACAAUGAACAGCAGUAGGACACUUGCCUUCCUUCCCCUGCCAAAAAACCCUGUUUGGUCAGAGUAAUGCUAAAUGCAGAGUUAUUCUGUGUCUAAACCCUUCAAUUAUAUCUCUUUGCAGCAUGAGUCCUGGAGGCUUUGUGAGUAGGACAUAUUCUUUAACAGGUCACUUGCAUUUUCUCUUUCUCCUCUCAAAUGCCAGCACCUGGGCUGCUCUUGUAUGCUCCUUUAAACUGUUUCUGAGCCAAUCCUGUAUGCUUCCUUGCAGUGCUGCUCUCAUCCCUUGACAGGCCAUGGAAAUCAAAGCAGAUUUCAUUUGCUUUGGGAGCAGAUGUCUCGUGAAAAAGCUUCUGUCUGUUUAGCAGCAUGGCAGAUUCAUUCCUCCAACAGUCAAAAGGCUUUAAUUUAGUGAGGUCACACAGUCAGAAAUUGGCCAAUUGAGCACUCACCAGAAAACCUCUGCUUCAGCCUGAUGUGAUCCUACAGGACAGAGAAGUACCUGCAGCAUCAGGUAGAAUGCUAGAGCAUCUCUCAUUACUCAGACACAGUGAGGUGGUCUCACUGCUGAGCGCUGUUAUUAUUGCAAACAGCAAAUGCUGCUGCAUCAGUUUGACUUCCCUGCAGCCUCCUGUGGGGCUCACAGCAAAGGCAAAUGAAGACAGCAAAGAGGGAUCGUGGGUCUGGACUGCCUCAGGCACAGGAAGGGCUGAAGGUGACAGCCUGGGCGAGGGAACAGAGACAGCUCUGCACACACACUGAUGGGAAUGCAAUACACGAUUGUGACAGCUGCAAACACCUUCAAAAUAAAGGCAAACUUCCAGCUGAGUGUGAUGUUCAGACUCCAGCUCCAGCGUUAAGGUAUGUGAAGAAUUCAUUCAACCUACUCCUGCAUCUUGUUGAACAAAGAUGAGUUGUUUUCAUGCCUAUAGUUUCUGGACAGUUGUGUCAAACCUUUGGCUAUACCUAACCAAAGACCUGCCUAAAUCCAGACGCAUCACUGGAUAAGUAAGUUUAAGUCAUGCCACAGUGACAUGAAAGAAGGCAUCACAAAGAGCCAGCUUUGUGGCUUGAGAGGGAUGGAUCAACUGGGAAUCCUAGGCAAGGAUGACCAGAAGGCCCCUGCACAGAAAAAGCUAAAGGAAGGCACUCUAACACAGUGAAUUUAGCCAUCACUUAUCGAGUGCAUCACUAGGAAAAAAAACCCAAGGUAGCUGUAAUUUCAAUCUCUGCACUCCCUGCCUUCAAAGAGCUUCCAAAGGCAGCUUGAAUUCUUCACCCUGAUGCUGGCAUGCUCGCAGUGACAUUGGAAGGCCCUGCUGGCAGUCGCUGCUGUCACAGCCCCAGCUCCCCGCGCUGGCAGCAGCAGGAGCGGCUGUAACUGGAUCCGCCCCAGCCCGGGCAGCCCCACUGCACAGCGGAUAUCUGCCCUGCACACCAACCAUAGACUUGAUGAAACAUUAUCAUACAUGAAGGACUAAUUAGGUGUGCUGGGCCAUUAGCCAUCUCUGAACAUUGACUGAUGAAAAACGUAAUUAAUGGCAGCUUUCAUAAACAGACUGCAGAAUGGAGAAUUGAAUUAAAAGGAAAACAGCUGUUGCUAAUGGAAAUAAGGGCCAUUUCUUGAUUAAAAUAUCUGCCUGUCUUUCCGUGGGAGUUUUUCCAGAGUGGUGGGAUGGAAGAGUGUAACGAGAUCUGGGAGCAGAGAAUCUGCAAAGCUUCCUGCUGAAGAAAGUACAACUUCUCUGGCUGGUGAGUCACAAUGUUUUCCUUUUGCAGAUUGGAGCAGGGGAAAGAACCAUACAAUUGCCUUGUUCAUCUUGCUGCCAGUCUGAACAGCUUUAUAAACCUUGGGGAUCAACCCUGACAUGUAGGAAUCCAUCUCAGCUUUAACAUAAUGUGAUAUUUCAUUUUACAUGAACCCACAGAUAUUGGAGGGUCUAGAAUUCAAAAGCUACUUGCUGAGGCCCUACACGGUAGCACUGAGCUCUGAAUCCAGGAGGCAUCUCCACAAAUCCCACUUAAGCACAUCUAUUGAUUCUGACACCAAAGUGCAGCAGGAAUCCACAGCUGAGAACAUCUAUCAAAGAGAGGCUUCCACCCAGAGACAGCCACUAGGGACUCAGUAAGACUUUGGUGACAUGAGUGAAAGGGUCUGAAUGACGGAAAAUGUCAGAAUCAAGGUUUUUUUCAGGUCACGAGGCCUUUCCUUCAUGCUGUGCUGACUCUGACUCCCACUGACAAGAAAUACUGCAGGAUAAGCCUACAGUACGGAAGAAUUAACAUCCAGAUUUUCAUAGGGACUGAGCAGCACAGCUUCAUCUGCCUCCUGUGGCAGAAAUCACACUGCAGUGGGGUGAAAGGCUGCUUUCUGAGUUUCUGAAGCCAUUUACUUCUACAUUUACUUCAUUUAGCAUAAAAAAUUUCAGGGUGCUUCCAAGUGCCACUGGGACCCGCGUAUCAGUGGACAUAGCCUUCUCAGUUUUGCCCUGUGUGUGUCCUCUCCAAGGCUCAAGGAUGCUUUAGUGACUCUUCAUAUAAAGUCUUGAAUGACAGGGUUGAUUGCCUGGGAGGGCACGUGCUGCAGAUGAAUUUUGGUGCUUCACUGUUGAGCUGCUCUCUGUGGAUCUGCGCCCCACUGUGCACCCGGGGCAGGAGAGCUCUGCUCUGCCGCUCUGACUCCAUCAGUCUUCUCUGCCUCGUUGAAAAUGAUGGAUCUUUCCCAUCAGUGAUGCCUGAGAGCUAAGCCCUGCAAACCCCAAGCCCCACAGAGGCUGCUGACAAGGAAAUCCACGCUCCAUCCCAGCCGUGCCCCGAGGAACGGAGGCGCAUGAAAGGCUGCGCUCAGCCGCAUUAUCAGAUCCAAAGUGGAAACCAAAGAGAGAGGAAGGUCUGAAAGAUGAGCCAGAUGGGAAUGCCUGUUGCUUUCACCUUUGAUCCACAUGGUGCUUUGAUGUGGUAUUUCAGUCCUUCAGACGAGGUAACUUAUCCCAGUCUGCAGCUCAGGGCACUCUGAUGGAUAUAAAUGAGGCAGCAAGCCGAGCUCCUGGGCUCUCGCUGAGCCACUGCCGCUCAGAGGCAUAACUCAGCCCCAGCUCCUUCCAGUGCCCAUUUUUUUUCUCUGGCUGCAGAGUCUAAAAGGAAAUUCCCUCAAAUAAAUACAAAAGCACUUGAUGUUCAUCUAAUGGCAUUUCAGGGAAAGGAAGCAUGAAGCCACACAAGUUAUUCAUCUCCAUAAAAUGGUUUUAUCAGGACCCAGAACACAAUUCCUUAGCCUGAGGUGGUCUGAUCUUCUUUGUGAGAUGUAAAUGCAUGACAUUAUGUGCAGAAUGGGUGCUGCUUAAGAACCCAGAUAGAUACAGAGCAGGCAUGUGGGAAUGAUCAGCAUAAAAUAUUUCCUUUUAAUGAUGUGGACACUUCUGUUCCUUUGAGGGAGAACAGUAUGUGCAGUGAAUACUUCAGCACAUUUUUCUAGUGAUAUGGAGGUCUUGAUCUGCUGGUGAGGGCUCAGACUCAAGUGUUAUUUGUGUCACUCUCAGCCAAAGGUUUGCUUCUCCAUUGCUCUGUGCAUGGAAAACCCAGG